GUUGUAGGACACUCUAUACGGAGUUACAAAGGACGACAUUAGACGAAUCAUCUGGAAAGAUGAAUCAAAGAAGGUAAUAAUCCUGUAGUCGAAAAUGUUGUCUCUCUUGAGUGGAUCCUGAGUACGACGGAGCACGUGAAAUUCCGUCGGAAUCUGGGAGGACCAUCUCCUAAGGCUAAAUACUCUCUAGUGACCGAUAGUGAACCAGUACCGUGAGGGAAAGGUGAAAAGCACCCCGGAAGGGGAGUGAAAUAGAACCUGAAACCGUGUGCUUACAAGUAGUCAGAGCCCGUUAAUGGGUGAUGGCGUGCCUUUUGUAGAAUGAACCGGCGAGUUACGAUUUGAUGCAAGGUUAAGCAGUAAAUGUGGAGCCGUAGCGAAAGCGAGUCUGAAUAGGGCGUUUAGUAUUUGGUCGUAGACCCGAAACCAGGUGAUCUACCCUUGGUCAGGUUGAAGUUCAGGUAACACUGAAUGGAGGACCGAACCGACUUACGUUGAAAAGUGAGCGGAUGAACUGAGGGUAGCGGAGAAAUUCCAAUCGAACCUGGAGAUAGCUGGUUCUCUCCGAAAUAGCUUUAGGGCUAGCCUCAAGUGAUGAUUAUUGGAGGUAGAGCACUGUUUGGACGAGGGGCCCCUCUCGGGUUACCGAAUUCAGACAAACUCCGAAUGCCAAUUAAUUUAACUUGGGAGUCAGAACAUGGGUGAUAAGGUCCGUGUUCGAAAGGGAAACAGCCCAGACCACCAGCUAAGGUCCCAAAAUAUAUGUUAAGUGGAAAAGGAUGUGGCGUUGCCCAGACAACUAGGAUGUUGGCUUAGAAGCAGCCAUCAUUUAAAGAGUGCGUAAUAGCUCACUAGUCGAGUGACACUGCGCCGAAAAUGUACCGGGGCUAAACAUAUUACCGAAGCUGUGGAUUGUCCUUUGGACAAUGGUAGGAGAGCGUUCUAAGGGCGUUGAAGCAUGAUCGUAAGGACAUGUGGAGCGCUUAGAAGUGAGAAUGCCGGUGUGAGUAGCGAAAGACGGGUGAGAAUCCCGUCCACCGAUUGACUAAGGUUUCCAGAGGAAGGCUCGUCCGCUCUGGGUUAGUCGGGUCCUAAGCUGAGGCCGACAGGCGUAGGCGAUGGAUAACAGGUUGAUAUUCCUGUACCACCUAUAAUCGUUUUAAUCGAUGGGGGGACGCAGUAGGAUAGGCGAAGCGUGCGAUUGGAUUGCACGUCUAAGCAGUAAGGCUGAGUAUUAGGCAAAUCCGGUACUCGUUAAGGCUGAGCUGUGAUGGGGAGAAGACAUUGUGUCUUCGAGUCGUUGAUUUCACACUGCCGAGAAAAGCCUCUAGAUAGAAAAUAGGUGCCCGUACCGCAAACCGACACAGGUAGUCAAGAUGAGAAUUCUAAGGUGAGCGAGCGAACUCUCGUUAAGGAACUCGGCAAAAUGACCCCGUAACUUCGGGAGAAGGGGUGCUCUUUAGGGUUAACGCCCAGAAGAGCCGCAGUGAAUAGGCCCAAGCGACUGUUUAUCAAAAACACAGGUCUCUGCUAAACCGUAAGGUGAUGUAUAGGGGCUGACGCCUGCCCGGUGCUGGAAGGUUAAGAGGAGUGGUUAGCUUCUGCGAAGCUACGAAUCGAAGCCCCAGUAAACGGCGGCCGUAACUAUAACGGUCCUAAGGUAGCGAAAUUCCUUGUCGGGUAAGUUCCGACCCGCACGAAAGGCGUAACGAUUUGGGCACUGUCUCAACGAGAGACUCGGUGAAAUCAUAGUACCUGUGAAGAUGCAGGUUACCCGCGACAGGACGGAAAGACCCCGUGGAGCUUUACUGUAGCCUGAUAUUGAAAUUCGGCACAGCUUGUACAGGAUAGGUAGGAGCCUUUGAAACGUGAGCGCUAGCUUACGUGGAGGCGCUGGUGGGAUACUACCCUAGCUGUGUUGGCUUUCUAACCCGCACCACUUAUCGUGGUGGGAGACAGUGUCAGGCGGGCAGUUUGACUGGGGCGGUCGCCUCCUAAAAGGUAACGGAGGCGCUCAAAGGUUCCCUCAGAAUGGUUGGAAAUCAUUCAUAGAGUGUAAAGGCAUAAGGGAGCUUGACUGCGAGACCUACAAGUCGAGCAGGGUCGAAAGACGGACUUAGUGAUCCGGUGGUUCCGCAUGGAAGGGCCAUCGCUCAACGGAUAAAAGCUACCCCGGGGAUAACAGGCUUAUCUCCCCCAAGAGUUCACAUCGACGGGGAGGUUUGGCACCUCGAUGUCGGCUCAUCGCAUCCUGGGGCUGUAGUCGGUCCCAAGGGUUGGGCUGUUCGCCCAUUAAAGCGGUACGCGAGCUGGGUUCAGAACGUCGUGAGACAGUUCGGUCCCUAUCCGUCGUGGGCGUAGGAAAUUUGAGAGGAGCUGUCCUUAGUACGAGAGGACCGGGAUGGACAUACCUCUGGUGUACCAGUUGUCGUGCCAACGGCAUAGCUGGGUAGCUAUGUGUGGACGGGAUAAGUGCUGAAAGCAUCUAAGCAUGAAGCCCCCCUCAAGAUGAGAUUUCCCAACUUCGGUUAUAAGAUCCCUCAAAGAUGAUGAGGUUAAUAGGUUCGAGGUGGAAGCAUGGUGACAUGUGGAGCUGACGAAUACUAAUCGAUCGAAGACUUAAUCAA
rnacentral:rRNA from 1 species